AUUGAACGCUGGCGGCAGGCUUAACACAUGCAAGUCGAGCGAGCGGCGGACGGGUGAGUAAUGUCUGGGAAACUGCCUGAGGGAGGGGGCUAACUAUUGGAAACGGUAGCUAAUACCGCAUACUAUCAGAUGUGCCCAGAUGGGAUUAGCUAGUAGGUGGGGUAAUGGCUCACCUAGGAGACGAUCCCUAGCUGUUCUGAGAGGAUGACCAGCCACACUGGAACGGAGACACGGUCCAGACUCCUACGGGAGGCAGCAGUGGGGAAUAUUUCACAAUGGGAGCAAGCCGGAUUCAGCCACGCCGCGUGUGUGAAGAAGGCCUUCGGGUUGUAAAGCACUUUCAGCGAGGAGGCGUUACUCGCAGAAGAAGCACCGGCUAACUCCGUGCCAGCAGCCGCGGUAAUAC
rnacentral:rRNA from 1 species